rnacentral:lncRNA from 1 species
CUUAGCCUCAUUUUAAGUGUCUUGGCUUCAUUUUCAUUGCUUUGGCAAUAUAAUCAAGAACAUUUGAAGCAGAACAAAUUUCAAAUUCAACCAAACUUCAGAAACGUUCCUCUCACGAUUUCAAGGAAAACCAAAAACGUGAUUUCGUUCCAAAAAUUUUGGGAAACCAGAAACAAUUUUUGUCCGUGAAUUUCUAAGGAGAAGGGCUAAUUUCGUUCAGUCAACGAAUGUUUUCAAACGAAAUAUUAUACGGAGUUUUCCCUACUCCAGGUAUGUUAAGGUUAUCCAUUCUUUCUUUUGGCACGAUCCAUACGAUAUGAACGAAACGUGCAAAUGCACAAAUUCCACAAGUGACUCUACUCAUAGAAGUAAUAGAAAUAUCUAUGUUCUUUAAUUCCCAUAUGUCAUAAUAUUUUAUCAUCUGUUCAUGGGUCUCAGAAAAAUACGAAAGUUGAAAAGAUGUUACUUUAUGAUAUUGCUCAAGAGGCAAAGUGGUCUUAUGACCUUCUGAAUGAUUUUAUUGACGUACUUUUCAUGCAUUGCAUUCAUGUGCAUUGACCCAUGACNANNNNNNNNNNNNNNNNNNNNNNNAGAUGGCAUUAUAUACGCGUAUAUAUGUAAAUAUAUGUAUAUGGAAUGGGAAAAGGUUACGGCGUUAUAUACGCACCACCACCUGAUCAGCUGGUAUAUGAUGAUGAUGUUGCCCACAGUGGCUGAAAUAUAAUUCAAACGGCGUUAUAUACGCAUAUAUAUGUAUGCACUCAAACGGCGUUAUACACGCGUAUAUAUGUAUGUAUAUAUAUGUGUAUGGGAUAUGGGAAAGGUUAUGGCGUUAUAUAUGCAUCACCACCUGAUCAGCUGGUAUACGAUGAUUAUUUUGCCCACAGUGGCCGAUAUGAUAUGAUGGGAUGCCCUCAGAGGCUGAUGAUAUUAUGAAACUUGUACCUAUGCAUGACAUGACAUUCAUACGCAUAUGCAUGACAUUAAAAGUAAUUUCUGAUUUACAAAGUUAUUCAACCUUACACUCUAUAUGUCUUCCAUAUCUCUCAUGUAUUUAUUUAUGUGCCUUACAUACUCAAUACAUUAUUCGUACUGACGUCCCUUUUGUCUGGGGAUGCUACAUUUUAUGCCCGCAGGUCCCGAUAGACAAGUCGAGAACCCUCCAAGUAGGCUAUCAGCUCAGCGGAAGAUGUUGGUGCGCUCCAUUUGCUUCGGAGUUGCUCGUUUGGUUAGUAUGAUUUAGAUGUGUAUUGUUUGGUAUGGCGAGACUUUGUCCCGACCCUUAUGACAUUUAUGUAUUCUUAGAGGCUUGUAGACAUAUGUAGU